GACGAACGCUGGCGGCGUGCUUAAAACAUGCAAGUCGAACGGACUUCUCAUGAAGCUUGCGAUUGAGAAGUUAGUGGCGGACGGGUGAGUAACGCGUGGGCAACCUGCCCCUGAGCCCGGGAUAACAGUUCGAAAGGACUGCUAAGACCGGAUAUACUUGCGGUGAAGCAUUUCACUGCAAGGAAAGGGAACGCUCAGGGAUGGGCCCGCGUAGGAUUAGGUAGUUGGUGGGGUAAUGGCCCACCAAGCCGACGAUCCUUAGCUGGUCUGAGAGGAUGAUCAGCCACACUGGGACUGAGACACGGCCCAGACUCCUACGGGAGGCAGCAGUGGGGAAUAUUGGACAAUGGGCGAAAGCCUGAUCCAGCAAUGCCGCGUGAGUGAUGAAGGCCUUAGGGUUGUAAAGCUCUUUUACCAGGGAUGAUAAUGACAGUACCUGGAGAAUAAGCUCCGGCUAACUCCGUG
rnacentral:rRNA from 1 species